rnacentral:lncRNA from 1 species
CGUAUAUACUCGUGUAUAAGUCGAUCUCAUGUAUAAGUCGAGUGCAGUUUUGUGACCAACAAUUGUGAAAUAUGCUAUGCCUCGUGGAUAAGUCGAGGGUAAAACGUGGGGCUAUGAAAUUCUGUGAUUUUUAUAAUUAUAUACAUACACACUCAUACAAACACACACUCUGCAUUAUAUAUAUACACACACACACACACACACACACACACUCAUACAAACACACACUCUGCAUUAUACACACACACUCAUACAAACACACACUCU